UAGAACACAGCAGGAAAGUGCUUGGAGUCCAAAGACACAAGACUGAGUCUGGGCCUUCUCAAGAUCAUCAGUGUGGCUCUGGGCAAGUUGCUUAACUGCUUUUAUCUCCUGUGUCCAUUAAUUCUGAUGUCACACAAAAUCUGAAGCCAAGAGGGGACAAUGCUCGGGAAAGUGUCUUGCAAACUCUGAAGUGCUGUAUGCUGGUGAGUCCAGACCCUUCGGGGACAGCUAGUACCAUGCUCUCCUAAAACUUCUUUUUGAUACUCAGUAACUGAAUUCAACUCAAUCAUAUUUAUUGAAUUUCUACUAGGGAAGGGACAUGGCGUUAGGUGCUGGUCACAUGAACAUGCAGACAUUCUACAAAGAUGAAGACAUUGAUCACAUCUCUUGGAAGGGGAAGUGGACAUUCAAAUAAGCAGCCAUUCCCAAGACGAUAAGAAAUCCAGUCACAGAUGUGAACAAAGGAAGAAGUGCCAUGUCGGGGGUGGGGUGGGGAUUAGGAAUGAGGAAGCAACGUGGAGCCUGCCCAGUCAGUUCUAGGUGGGAAAUGAGUGGGAGGGUCGUUCUAAAUCGAGGGUUAAGCACAGGCUUUGGAAUGGCUGAGACACAGAUAAAGCAGAUCAUACAAAGGGGGAAAAAAAAAGCCAUUGUUUUAGAAGAAAGGAAAACGAAAAUUUCUGGCAGGUUAAAAGACUUUACGAAGAUCAGGAUGACGAAAUUAACUUCUAGAGAUUUCUCUUCCUCUGAGCCAUAGGUACAUGGAAUUCAAAGCUACACAGAUUGAAACCCCUUAUUGGCCCUGGACUCAGCAAGGUUACUAGGAAAAAUGAAGAAUCAGCCUUGUGGGCAAGAGGAGGAGGAUCACAUUGGCCAGUAGGCAGCACCCUGUGCUGGCAGAGGGAGAAAUCUGAGCCUCAGCAGAGCCAGGCACAGUCUUUGUACAAACUCUCUGGUUUCAAGUUGCGAGAGUCUCCGGAGUCUCUGGGAAGGUGCCCCAGGGACAGGCUCCCUUUGCAGAGCCCUGAGGAUUGAUGAGAAUCCCCCAGCCCCAGCCCCCCAGAGGGCAAGCAGGUGAAGAAAUGAUGACUUGGCAAGGUUAUGACUGGCCAAGACCUCCAGAUACCCAUUAUCACUCCUGAGGCUAUUGCUUCUUCAAGCCAGUUGGUACUCAGAAUGGCACUGUGCUUACCAUGUUUCAAACUCAUUCCUUCAAGCACCCAUGCGUCCUGUUCAGUACUAACUGUAUGUUGAGCGGUACCAGCACAAAGAACUUUCUUGUGUUGUUUUGAUGUAAGAAAGGAAAAGCUUCGUCUUUCUUAACAGUACCAGUGGAAGCCAGAAGACACUAUCAGAUCUACUGGAGCUGGAGCUACAGGUGGUUGUGAACUGCCCAGUGUGGAUGCUGGUGGAACUGAACUCCAGUUCUCUGCAAGAGCAAUGGGUGAACCAAGGCCUGGAAAGGAGACAGGACCGUGCAGAGAGCCGAUGUCUACCAACGCCUACUGACAUGCUCACCCAUGCCUGAUCGGCUCAACCUCAUUCAGGACAAUGUUCUCAGACCUCCUCGGAGGAGACACUUGAACCUUCUGCAAGACCUUCUUCAGCCCCCCUGGGGCCCUGCUGUCUACUGAACAGGUGGAAGUGGGUGGAAAGGUCACGGGUGCAGGGUUGUAGGAACAGGUUGUAGGAACAGUUUUCUGAGACUGUCCUAGUGAGGGAUCUGGAGCCCAGAGCCAAUCUCUGCAGAAUGAAAACUCACCCUGUCCACACGCUUUGCUGAGCUGAGCAUCCGACCGACCGACCGACCGACCCUUCUCUGACUCUGCUCCCUUGGCCGCUGCUUCACGCCUCCUCCCAGUGGCCGCUCACAUCAGCAGCUGACUACAUGGGUGAGUGAAUGAACUCCAGGCAGGUGCAUGCCGCAGAGGCACUCUUCCUUCGAAGGGCACCUUUGUUGCCUAGGCAUAAGAAGAAUAGCCAGGGCCAGCCAACCAGAAUCACAGCCAAGCGGUGUGUGCCUUGCUGAGGGAAAAAAGCUUCUUAAAGCUGGCUGACAGGAUGGAGUGCUCCAGAGUAAGGUUCUGGAACCUGGGUGAUGACAACUCUUUUAAGUGUUUGGGAGUGCUGGGGCCCUGUGGCAACCUGUUCUCGCCUCUCUGACUUACUACAGUCUUUCCUAUGUGAGUUGAGAGAAAUUCAGUUCACAUGUUCCUGGACGAUUUGCAUGAUUUUCAGCAAGAUGCCACGGUUGUGGUUGCACCAUUGGAUGUUGACAGUGUUGCUUUCUUUGUUGCAUUUGGAGCCCAGUCCCUGACGGAAAGCCAGCUGGUCCAUUACUGGACGACGAGCGAGAGCAAAGGGCACAGUGUCUGCGGGCGACGUCCGCCAGAGCACUGCAGUGUCUGUCCAGCGAGGAGUGAGAGAUGUCACAAGCUACAGGAGCUCUGCCAGGCCUGCUGGCAGGACCUGGGAGAGGUGGGAAAAGCAAGGCGCUGCAGCAGGGCUGCGAGGCUUCUGGGGCAGAGGAAAACGGGGGUUGCCAGGCAAGGCCAGCACCAGGCUUGCCUCCUGUUCAGCAGCCUGGGAAAGGUAACUUUCACCUCGCGGUCUCUCACUGUCGUCUUCUGGAGCCCAGGAUUUUUGUAGACCCAAAGAGACUAUUAAUUUAUUGUAGGAAUCUUUAGUGUCUUAUUAUGAAUAAUAUUUGGCACUGCCUAAAUAAAUGUUUUUCCAAGAAAUAUUUUUGCCC